rnacentral:rRNA from 1 species
CCAAGGAGUCUAACAUGUGCGCGAGUCACUGGGCUCGACGAAACCCAAGGGCGCAAUGAAAGUGAAAGGUCGUCUCGCAACGGCCCCGGGUGGGAUCUCUCCCGAUCGGAAGUGGUCGAGAGCGCACCACCGGCCCGUCUCGUCCGCACUCUGUCGGUGAGGCGGAGCAAGAGCGUACACGUUGGGACCCGAAAGAUGGUGAACUAUGCCCGAGCAGGACGAAGCCAGAGGAAACUCUGGUGGAAGUCCGCAGCGAUUCUGACGUGCAAAUCGAUCGUCAGACUUGGGUAUAGGGGCGAAAGACUAAUCGAACCAUCUA